AGUAGCUCAGGAAAGCCUUGGUUGGCUCUGUCUUCCCAAAUCUUCAGGGAUGGAGAUAAUUCAAAUCCUCUAGGCCUAAACAAGAAGAUACAGACCUGAAGCAGAGGAAGAGGAAGUCAGGGGACACCACCUUUACAAUUAAUAUUAUGUGGAAAUAAUCUUUGAAUGAAAAGAAGAAUUAUGGAUUCAACUUUUUUGUUUUCUACAUUCGAAUAGAAAUGCAUUUCUUUGCACCGUGAAAGAAGCAGUUGGUCUAAUACUGAUCUUAUUUAUGUUUUCGUUAUGCAUGUAUGUCAAUGAAGAUUGUAUUCUGUUACCGUGGAACCAAUGAGAAGAAAAUUAGGCCAAUUUCUGUGCAUUGGCAGCAAUGAAAGAACCAUUUGGGAAUACCACAUCUAAAAUUAACAAAUCUAUGUCACAUGUGGAUCUGCAAUUCAGACUGAUCUCAUAUAAGCUGUAUGUCUAAAGGACGCUGGAGUAUGAUCUCCUAAUGCCUAGAUUUUAAAAAAGUCACUUCAGGCUUGUGAGGGCAAAAUCUAAAACAGUGAGAGUUUUAAAGAAUUUCAUGAUUGGGGCAUUGCCAAAAGGCUUCCCCCUGCCAAGUACUGUAAGAACAUAAUUUUUCUGUGGAGCUUGUAUAUUUACAGAUGAAGACCUAUAUCUGUAUGUGGAAGGGAAGCACAAAUAAGAAUGAUAUAAAAGAAAAUAGAAUUCUAGCUCCUAAGAGGAGCAGGCUAAGAAUCUUGAAUAAGAGCAACUCUGAAUCUGAGCAACUCUGUAGUGUUGGAUACUACACGCAGAUAUUACCUAGCUACUAGAUGACAAUAUAUAUAUAUAUAUAUAUAUAUUGUGUAUAUAUAUAUAUACACAUAAAAAAAAAAAAAAGGUUUUGUAUGCUUCACAUCAACUUGAGUUAAUUUAUGGUUUAGCUGAUCUAAGCAAGACAAAUUAUUUAGGCUCCAUUACAAUAAAGAGACAAAGCUAUGCACCCAGGAAAGGUAUUUUUAUUUCAUCCAUAUUAGAGCACAGAAAAAUGUGGUCACAGCAGAAGUGAAGUGAAGUAGGAUGCAAUCUUGAUGAGAAAAUGAAGCAACCAGUCACAGGAAGAAUGCAUAGAAAAUGGUUGCAUAAUGAUAAUGGUGCUAUACUGAUUUUACAGCAUCCAGCUAAGAAAUCUUAGAAAGAUUUUGAUGAGAAGGUGGCUGUGUGUCUUCCCCCUCCAACUUUAAUUUUGUCAUUAGUUUUGAAAGGUAACUUCAUAUAGUAACAUCAGUAACUUCAGUAGUAAAUAUAUUUUUUAUAUAAUUCUGAGCAUAAUGACAAUACAAAAUGUGUUGCAAAAUGAAUGCAGAUGUAACUAAAUUACUGAAAAAGAACUCUCCAAAAACCUCUCUUUUUUGUUAUAUCAGGGUGACCUCAGAGGCACCAAUUGGCUUAUAGAGGCAAAGCUAGACAGAAUUUAGUCUGACUACUUCAGUUUAUAAGUAUUAAUGUAUAAGGGGCAUUGUUUCUUGUGGAGAUUAGCUGUUGUCUCAUUUCACCUCACUUUCUGAAUAAUAAAUGGUUAUGCAUGUUGCCUUCAAUAUAAUUUGUUAUAUAAAUUCUAUGUAAUUAUUAAGAUAAGAUAAUAUGUACAGUAUCCUCCCAAUCACUAAACUGCUUCUAAAUGCUAAGGGCCAAUUAGAUUA